rnacentral:lncRNA from 1 species
GAAGGGAUCAGAGCACACUAGGAAAGGUAUUCUCAUGGUGGUCUUGGUGUGUGCUGUGGGGUGGGGUGCUUGCUGAAGUAGGGAAGCACAGGGCUUUGGCUCUAUCCCACCCCAUUACCAUCUCCUAAGAGCAUCCCACCUCACCAAAGGCUCCCACUCAAGGAUACCUGGGAAAAGAGCCCUUGCUUUCUGAAGAUAAAGGGAUGUGAGGACAUAGAGACUUAUGGUUUGAUUCUCAUGAGCUCGAAAAGAUCUUAGAAAAAGAGAAGGCUAGAACUGGAUCUUUCCUAGAGAUGGAGACAGGCCUAGACUAGGAAAGGCCUUAAACUAAACGGGUUACUUAUUUUCCUUUUGAAAACUACUCCCUGCUCUGUUGACAACUUCACCAAUCACAGGUCCAUUUUCUCUGCAGAGGGAGGAGGGUCAACACAUCACAUGGGUUGGUUAAUCUCUAACCUCUGCUAAUUUGCUUGUUUGCUUGUUUAAAGCGGAGUCAUUUGCAAAGAGACUCUUUUCUCCAGGAUCUCUCGGAGAAAGGAGGGACGAAAACCUAGAGCUGUCGGUGGCCAGCUUGGCUUAUCUGAGAAUUAAGCUAAAGGAGAAAUGCAGAGGAAAGAGGGGAGGCAAAGACAGAAUCCUUGGAUCCAGUCACACGAGAAUUAUCUGGGUAUCAAAGGAGGAGAAAAUCCUAAAACUGAAAAGGCCCAUAUUUACCCAACCAAGAUUUUUGUAAGGGCAUCAAAAUCCAAAUGUGAGAUGGACUUCUGCUUAUAGGAAGAUGGAGUAAAUAUACUUUUUUCUAUUCUUUUUACAAAACACAACGAAAAGCCCUGGACCAUAUAUGUAAAACAAACAAAAGAAGACUGAAAUAUGGAGAUAAACAGUCAGACCAGCUAGUGACCUCAAUAACCAAAGAAGGACAUCAUGGCUAGUUCCCUGGGUUUUUUUUUUUUUUUUUUUUUGGCUUCAUAUAUCCUAGACUUGAAGUUGAAGAAGGCCAGUAACCUGUAACACCAAUGGGCAUGGAGAAAAGUCUUCAACAAAACCUUGAACUCUCUAGCCAAAGGACAAGGAAAGGGACAGCCAAGCAAGACAGCAUACUUUAAAACAAUACCCACUCUACUCCAGCCAAACACCACAGAAAAAACUAUGGCCUUAUCCCCAUCCAUGCCAGCAAAGGUGCAGUGGAAAGCCUAGACUUCUAUCUUCAUGAGAUAGUAUUGAGGUAAUCCCCACCCCUCGUAGGGGUGUUGUCAGGGAAGGCUGAGUAGGGAGCAGGGCCUUUCCUGACUCUGGCUGGCAACAAGGCCCCUGCCCCCAGUGGUGUCAGUGAAGACCCUGUGAGAACCCUGGACUUCCACCCCACCCUGCCGUAAUGAAGUGCCCUCCCUCCUUCUCUCUUUCUUUUUUUUUUCAUUUACUGUGUGGUGACUUAAUUCAGUCACCCCUUAUAAAAUCUUUCUUUUCAUUGUGGUAAAAUGUACAUUACAUAAAAUUGACCAUGUCAACCAUUUUUAAGUGUCCAGUCCCUUGG